UACGGGGGGGGGCAAGCGUUGUUCGGAAUUACUGGGCGUAAAGGGCUCGUAGGCGGCCAACUAAGUCCGACGUGAAAUCCCAAGGCUUAACCUUGGAACUGCGUCGGAUACUGGAUGGCUUGAAUUCGGGAGAGGGAUGCAGAAUCCCAGGUGUAGCGGUGAAAUGCGUAGAUAUCUGGAGGAAUACCGGUGGCGAAGGCGGCAUCCUGGACCGACAUUGACGCUGAUGAGCGAAAGCCAGGGGAGCAAACGGG
rnacentral:rRNA from 1 species